UACGUAGGGUGCAAGCGUUGUCCGGAAUUAUUGGGCGUAAAGAGCUCGUAGGCGGCUUGUCGCGUCGGCUGUGAAAACCCGGGGCUCAACCCCGGGCCUGCAUUCGAUACGGGCAGACUAGAGUUCGGUAGGGGAGUCUGGAAUUCCUGGUGUAGCGGUGAAAUGACGCAGAUAUCAGGAGGAACACCGGUGGCGAAGGCGGGACUCUGGGCCGAUACUGACGCUGAGGAGCGAAAAGCGUGGGGGAGCGAACAGG
rnacentral:rRNA from 1 species